AAAGAGCUCGUUAGGUGUUUUUCGCGUUGUUCGUGAAAACUCACAGCCUUAAACUGUGGGCGUGCGGCGAUACGGGCAGACUAGAGUACUGCAGGGAGACUGGAAUUCCUGGUGUAGCGGUGGAAUGCGCAGAUAUCAGGAGGAACACCGGUGGCGAAGGCGGGUCUCUGGGCAGUAACUGACGCUGAGGAGCGAAAGCGUGGGGAGCGAACAGGAUUAGAUACCCUGGUAGUCCACGCCGUAAACGGUGGGUACUAGGUGUGGGUUUCCUUCCUUGGGAUCCGUGCCGUAGCUAACGCAUUAAGUACCCCGCCUGGGGAGUACGGCCGCAAGGCUAAAACUCAAAGGAAUUGACGGGGGCCCGCACAAGCGGCGGAGCAUGUGGAUUAAUUCGAUGCAACGCGAAGAACCUUACCUGGGUUUGACAUGCACAGGACGACUGCAGAGAUGUGGUUUCCCUUGUGGCCUGUGUGCGGGUGGUGCACGGCUGUCGUCAGCUCGUGUCGUGAGAUGUUGGGUUAAGUCCCGCAACGAGCGCAACCCUAAUC
rnacentral:rRNA from 1 species